rnacentral:rRNA from 1 species
UACGUAGGAGGCGAGCGUUGUCCGGAGUUACUGGGCGUAAAGGGUGCGCAGGCGGCCGAUCGCGGUUUGCGGUGAAAGCUCCCGGCUUACCUGGGAGAGGGCCGUGAAGACGGGUUGGCUUGAGGCUCGGAGAGGGACGUGGAAUUCCGGGUGGAGCGGUGAAAUGCGUAGAGAUCCGGAAGAACACCGACGGCGAAGGCAGCGUCCUGGCCGAGGCCUGACGCUCAGGCACGAAAGCGCGGGAGCGAACAGG